AGAGUUGAUCCUGGCUUAGGACAAACGCUGGCGGCGUGCUUAACACAUGCAAGUCGUACGGAGCUGCAGGACGGAAUCCUCGGGAGGAAGAACGGCAGCUAGUGGCGGACGGGUGAGUAACGCGUGAGCAACCUGCCCAUAAGAGGGGGAUAACAGUUGGAAACGACUGCUAAUACCGCAUAAGACCACAACACCGCAUGGUGGAGGGGUCAAAGAGCAAUCGCUUAUGGAUGGGCUCGCGUCCCAUUAGGUAGUUGGCAGGAUAACAGCCUACCAAGCCGACGAUGGGUAGCCGACCUGAGAGGGUGAUCGGCCACACUGGAACUGAGACACGGUCCAGACUCCUACGGGAGGCAGCAGUGGGGAAUAUUGGGCAAUGGGCGCAAGCCUGACCCAGCAACGCCGCGUGAGUGAAGAAGGCCUUUGGGUUGUAAAACUCUGUUCUAUGGGAAGAAGGAAGUGACGGUACCAUAGGAGAAAGCUCCGGCUAACUACGUGCCAGCCGCCGC
rnacentral:rRNA from 1 species